UUUCACUCUGGGAGACGUUUGAGACCCAGCGUCUCUAGAUCUCGUAUUUGAAUUUGUGGCGCUUGGUGUCCGCGAGUUGCCGAAUGAAGCUGAGCGUCUCAGUGGAACCAGGGAUCUCAGGGAGGGGAAGGUAUAAAAUUUUCAAAUGGAGGAGUAUACCUGAACCUAAUCAUGGAUGUGAUUUUAUGUAAGUAAUAUGUGAGAUACAGAUAAGCUGAUUCUAAAACUUACAAGAAUGGCAAAGAAACAAGAAGAGCUUAAACUGUGAAGACUGAAGCCUUAGGCUAUGGCAGAAGUUGGGCGCCUGAAGUACACGUGGAAAUAUGCCAACUGAACAUUGGACUACCACGUCAAGGGUCUCCUACCCCUGGGCCAUGGAUCAAUACCAGUCUGUGACCUGUUAGGAACCGGUAGCAGGAGCGCCUGCCCCUGGCUCAGCGCCCGGUGCCAACAGAACACCUUUCAGGAUCCACAGCAACGCAGACAACGGAACUCACAAGGGCUUCGGUUCUCAAGAGGCCAUCAAAACAUAACUGCUGCCGAGACAAUACCUUUCCUUCCCCUCACUACAUUCACUGAAUGUUCUGGAUCAGUGCGUCUCACACCUUUGGAUCUUAUAAGCUACUUGGAAAAAUUUUAAAGCACCUGAUGGAUUUGGAAAAUAUU
rnacentral:lncRNA from 10 species